UACAGAGGGGGCAAGCGUUGUUCGGAAUUACUGGGCGUAAAGGGCGCGUAGGCGGCCUUCUAAGUCGAACGUGAAAUCCCUGGGCUCAACCCAGGAACUGCGUCCGAUACUGGGAGGCUUGAAUCCGGGAGAGGGAUGUGGAAUUCCAGGUGUAGCGGUGAAAUGCGUAGAUAUCUGGAGGAACACCGGUGGCGAAGGCGGCAUCCUGGACCGGUAUUGACGCUGAUGCGCGAAAGCCAGGGGAGCAAACAGG
rnacentral:rRNA from 1 species